UGGGAAUUUUGGACAAUGGGCGAAAGCCUGAUCCAGCAAUGCCGCGUGUGUGAAGAAGGCCUUCGGGUUGUAAAGCACUUUUGUCCGGAAAGAAAUCCUUGGCUCUAAUACAGUCGGGGGAUGACGGUACCGGAAGAAUAAGCACCGGCUAACUACGUGCCAGCAGCCGCGGUAAUACGUAGGGUGCAAGCGUUAAUCGGAAUUACUGGGCGUAAAGCGUGCGCAGGCGGUUUGCUAAGACCGAUGUGAAAUCCCCGGGCUCAACCUGGGAACUGCAUUGGUGACUGGCAGGCUAGAGUAUGGCAGAGGGGGGUAGAAUUCCACGUGUAGCAGUGAAAUGCGUAGAGAUGUGGAGGAAUACCGAUGGCGAAGGCAGCCCCCUGGGCCAAUACUGACGCUCAUGCACGAAAGCGUGGGGAGCAAACAGGAUUAGAUACCCUGGUAGUCCACGCCCUAAACGAUGUCAACUAGUUGUUGGGGAUUCAUUUCCUUAGUAACGUAGCUAACGCGUGAAGUUGAUCGCCUGGGGAGCACGGUCGCAAGAUUAAAACUUAAAUGAAUUGACGGGGUCAUAGCUG
rnacentral:rRNA from 1 species